rnacentral:rRNA from 1 species
GGGGAAUUUUGGACAAUGGGCGAAAGCCUGAUCCAGCAAUGCCGCGUGCAGGAUGAAGGCCUUCGGGUUGUAAACUGCUUUUGUACGGAACGAAAAGGCUCUGGCUAAUACCUGGGGCACAUGACGGUACCGUAAGAAUAAGCACCGGCUAACUUCGUGCCAGCAGCCGCGGUAAUACGAAGGGUGCAAGCGUUACUCGGAAUUACUGGGCGUAAAGCGUGCGUAGGUGGUGGUUUAAGUCCGUUGUGAAAGCCCUGGGCUCAACCUGGGAACUGCAGUGGAUACUGGAUCACUAGAGUGUGGCAGAGGGUAGUGGAAUUCCCGGUGUAGCAGUGAAAUGCGUAGAGAUCGGGAGGAACAUCAGUGGCGAAGGCGACUGCCUGGGCCAACACUGACACUGAGGCACGAAAGCGUGGGGAGCAAACA